AAGAGAAGACUUCACCCUAGGAGAUGAUGGACAAGAAAAAGAAAGGAAACCAGAUUCCAGGAUGAUCUCAUUGAACAGGGCUAACCACUGACUUGGACCAUCCACCUACCUCUAGACUAUCACAUCUGACACUUGCUCCUGUCCCAUCUCCGGGUCUUUCCCCCCUUCUUCAAGACUGACAGACAAUAAAGGUAUGAGGAUGGAUCAUGUCCAUCACCCAGCAGAAGAGAUUGGCAAGAGAAAUAUUCCAGGAACAUCCCUGGUGGUGCAGUGGUUAAGAAUCCGCCUGCCAACACAGGGUACAUGAGUUCAAUCCCUGGUUCGGGAAGAUCCCACAUGCCGCAGAGCAACUAAGCCCAUGGGCCACAACUACUGAACCUGUGCUCUAGAGCCCGUGAGCCACAACUACUGAGCCCACGUGCCACAAAUACU